GACGAACGCUGGCGGCGUGCUUAACACAUGCAAGUCGAACGGAAAGGCCCUGCUUGCAGGGUACUCGAGUGGCGAACGGGUGAGUAACACGUGGGUGAUCUGCCCUGCACUUCGGGAUAAGCUUGGGAAACUGGGUCUAAUACCGGAUAGGAGCCAUCUUUAGUGUGGUGGUUGGAAAGUUUUUUCGGUGUAGGAUGAGCUCGCGGCCUAUCAGCUUGUUGGUGGGGUAAUGGCCUACCAAGGCGGCGACGGGUAGCCGGCCUGAGAGGGUGUACGGCAAGAGUGGGCAUGAGACAGGGCCCGGCCUGCUGGGGGGGGGGGGAGGGGGGAAUUUUGAACAAUGGGCGAAGGCGUGAUGCAGGGACGCUGGGGGGGGGAGGAGGCCUUUGGGUUUGAAAGCUCCUUCGGAGGGGGACAAGGCUUUUUGUGAGGGUCCCUAGUAAAAAGGCCCCGACUACCUACGUG
rnacentral:rRNA from 1 species